GACGAACGCUGGCGGCGUGCUUAACACAUGCAAGUCGAACGGAGAGGCCCUGCUUUUGUGGGGUGCUCGAGUGGCGAACGGGUGAGUAACACGUGAGUAACCUGCCCUUGACUUUGGGAUAACUUCAGGAAACUGGGGCUAAUACCGGAUAGGAGCUCCUGCUGCAUGGUGGGGGUUGGAAAGUUUCGGCGGUUGGGGAUGGACUCGCGGCUUAUCAGCUUGUUGGUGGGGUAGUGGCUUACCAAGGCUUUGACGGGUAGCCGGCCUGAGAGGGUGACCGGCCACAUUGGGACUGAGAUACGGCCCAGACUCCUACGGGAGGCAGCAGUGGGGAAUAUUGCACAAUGGGCGGAAGCCUGAUGCAGCAACGCCGCAUGCGGGAUGACGGCCUUCGGGUUGUAAACCGCUUUCGCCUGUGACGAAGCGUGAGUGACGGUAAUGGGUAAAGAAGCACCGGCUAACUACGUGCCAGCAGCCGCGGUGAUACGUAGGGUGCGAGCGUUGUCCGGAUUUAUUGGGCGUAAAGGGCUCGUAGGUGGUUGAUCGCGUCGGAAGUGUAAUCUUGGGGCUUAACCCUGAGCGUGCUUUCGAUACGGGUUGACUUGAGGAAGGUAGGGGAGAAUGGAAUUCCUGGUGGAGCGGUGGAAUGCGCAGAUAUCAGGAGGAACACCAGUGGCGAAGGCGGUUCUCUGGGCCUUUCCUGACGCUGAGGAGCGAAAGCGUGGGGAGCGAACAGGCUUAGAUACCCUGGUAGUCCACGCUGUAAACGGUGGGUACUAGGUGUGGGGUCCAUUCCACGGGUUCCGUGCCGUAGCUAACGCUUUAAGUACCCCGCCUGGGGAGUACGGCCGCAAGGCUAAAACUCAAAGGAAUUGACGGGGCCCCGCACAAGCGGCGGAGCAUGCGGAUUAAUUCGAUGCAACGCGUAGAACCUUACCUGGGUUUGACAUGGAUCGGGAGCGCUCAGAGAUGGGUGUGCCUCUUUUGGGGUCGGUUCACAGGUGGUGCAUGGCUGUCGUCAGCUCGUGUCGUGAGAUGUUGGGUUAAGUCCCGCAACGAGCGCAACCCUUGUUCACUGUUGCCAGCACGUUAUGGUGGGGACUCAGUGGAGACCGCCGGGGUCAGCUCGGAGGAAGGUGGGGAUGACGUCAAGUCAUCAUGCCCCUUAUGUCCAGGGCUUCACGCAUGCUACAAUGGCUGGUACAGAGAGUGGCGAGCCUGUGAGGGUGAGCGAAUCUCGGAAAGCCGGUCUCAGUUCGGAUUGGGGUCUGCAACUCGACCUCAUGAAGUCGGAGUCGCUAGUAAUCGCAGAUCAGCAACGCUGCGGUGAAUACGUUCCCGGG
rnacentral:rRNA from 1 species